GUAAAAGCCAUGAUCGCAAACCAAAUAUGAAAAAUUCAUAAGAUACCUAACUACCUACAUAACUAAAAAUUGCUAACUAACUACUUAGGUAAAAUAAAAUAAUAACUACUAUCUACAUAGUGUGUGUGUACAGUGUACCUAGUUACUCAAGAGACUGACCUAUGGAAUGGAGCUUCUACGGCCCAAUAAUUCUGGCGAUUGUGCUAUUCCUACUGGUCGGGACGAUCAUCGAGCAUAGGCUUGAAGUAGUUAUACGACGUGUUUUGGAACACCACCAAACCCAAGUUCAAGCGUACCAAACUAGCCAGUCAACUGAUCAACAAACCAGCCAGUCAAUCAACCAUCAAACCAGUCAACCAACCAAUCAACCAGCUAAUAGACAAAACAUUCGAUCCGCAUCAGAUACAAUAUUUACGAGCAAAAGCGCAAUGACAAGCAUUUCUUCUGAAUUUCACAAACCCAAUCUCACUUUACAAAAAAGUGCACAAAAUAUGAAGCUCCUGGAUUCUCCAUUUAAAUCUGCCCUUAAGUACAAGUCGAAUACAUUGAUGUAAAAGAGAACUGGCAAGCCAAUUCCUAUGUAACUACCUAUUCAGCAGAUCCACAAAACAAAAUGUAAAAGCACAUACAUAAGUAGGUACAUAUUAUAAAUAUAAAAUACUAUGAAAAUUAA